UUGGCGGAACCUACAAGAUGCCGCUAGAUCCCACCAGGCGGCAACACUGUGCAGUAUGUAUGCGUUUGUGUGUCUGUGCGUAUGUGUGUGUGUGUGUGUGUGUAUGCGGCGCUGUGUGGGUGUCAAGGCGUAAAGUGAAGUUCGGAAUAGCUGACGUGAAAAAAGAAAAUGGAAUCUGGGAAAAGGACAUCAUGUGGAGUAUCCGCCUUCCCACACCCGCCACGCAUGAGGGACGCAUGUGUAAGAAAGCCGCGGAAUGGAGAGAAGAAUAAUCAUGUUGAGUAUCACCAAUGAAAUACCCUGCCCUAGCACUAAGCACAGCCACACACCUCCCACAAGUCGGGAUUCCAGGCAGGGAAGAUAGCAGUGAAGGCAGCGGGUUCUUCUCCCUGGUUGAUGCGCAAG